rnacentral:ncRNA from 1 species
CGAACGAAAGGGCAAAAUCAUUGAAAAGUGAUGACGCAAAACUAUAGGGGCUAAAGUUAUGAAACUAUGCUAGCCAGUUGCCGAA